rnacentral:tRNA from 1 species
GGUGGGGUGGCUGAGCGGUUGAAAGCGGCAGUCUUGAAAACUGUUGAGGGGAAUUUUCCCCUCCCUGGGUUCGAAUCCCAGCUCCACCG